UUGGAUGAGUUGCGAACGGGUGAGUAACGCGUAGGUAACCUGCCUGGUAGCGGGGGAUAACUAUUGGAAACGAUAGCUAAUACCGCAUAAAAUUGAUUAUUGCAUGAUAAUUAAUUGAAAGAUGCAAUUGCAUCACUACCAGAUGGACCUGCGUUGUAUUAGCUAGUUGGUGAGGUAACGGCUCACCAAGGCGACGAUACAUAGCCGACCUGAGAGGGUGAUCGGCCACACUGGGACUGAGACACGGCCCAGACUCCUACGGGAGGCAGCAGUAGGGAAUCUUCGGCAAUGGGGGGAACCCUGACCGAGCAACGCCGCGUGAGUGAAGAAGGUUUUCGGAUCGUAAAGCUCUGUUGUAAGAGAAGAACGGGUGUGAGAGUGGAAAGUUCACACUGUGACGGUAUCUUACCAGAAAGGGACGGCUAACUACGUGCCAGCAGCCGCGGUAAUACGUAGGUCCCGAGCGUUGUCCGGAUUUAUUGGGCGUAAAGCGAGCGCAGGCGGUUAGAUAAGUCUGAAGUUAAAGGCUGUGGCUUAACCAUAGUAUGCUUUGGAAACUGUUUAACUUGAGUGCAGAAGGGGAGAGUGGAAUUCCAUGUGUAGCGGUGAUAUGCGUAGAUAUAUGGAGGAACACCGGUGGCGAAAGCGGCUCUCUGGUCUGUAACUGACGCUGAGGCUCGAAAGCGUGGGGAGCAAACAGGAUUAGAUACCCUGUUAGUCCACGCCGUAAACGAUGAGUGCUAGGUGUUAGGCCCUUUCCGGGGCUUAGUGCCGCAGCUAACGCAUUAAGCACUCCGCCUGGGGAGUACGACCGCAAGGUUGAAA
rnacentral:rRNA from 1 species